rnacentral:rRNA from 1 species
AGACGUCUACAUUAGAUACCCCCGUAGUCCCAGCCGUAAACUAUGCGCGUUAGGUGUAUCGGUGACCACGAGUCACCGAGGUGCCGAAGGGAAACCGUGAAACGUGCCGCCUGGGAAGUACGGUCGCAAGGCUGAAACUUAAAGGAAUUGGCGGGGGAGCACAACAACGGGUGGAGCCUGCGGUUUAAUUGGACUCAACGCCGGACAACUCACCGGGAACGACUGCAAUAUGUAGGCCAGGCUGAAGACCUUGCCUGAAUCGCUG